UACGUAGGGUGCGAGCGUUGUCCGGAAUUAUUGGGCGUAAAGAGCUUGUAGGCGGCUUGUCGCGUCUGCUGUGAAAAUACGGGGCUCAACCCCGGACUUGCAGUGGGUACGGGCAGACUAGAGUGUGGUAGGGGAGACUGGAAUUCCUGGUGUAGCGGUGAAAUGCGCAGAUAUCAGGAGGAACACCGAUGGCGAAGGCAGGUCUCUGGGCCACUACUGACGCUGAGAAGCGAAAGCAUGGGUAGCGAACAGGAUUAGA
rnacentral:rRNA from 1 species